UUUCUUGUCAUAUCCACUAGUUAUCAUAGUUCACCUCCGUUUCACGCUGCGUCACGUAAAUGGCGCAUGCGCAGACACCUAACCGCACCUCGAAGUAAUUUUUCGUGAGGGUAAACCAGAGCCCAUGGUGGUGACUUCAACCGUCACUUUUCUGUCAUGCAUCUGACUGCAAGCUGUACAAACUCUGCCGUCAUCAUAUCCAAGGCAGUAAGUUGUGAGGACUGCUUCCCUGAGAACACUGAGUGCAUUCUGGAAUAUUCCAAAUGUGUCCCACUUCCAUACAAAAGAAGUUCGAAUCCCGCAAGAGAGUUCACUCAACAGUGGGCUUCAUCAACAGACCAGGGCAAAGUCGGUCUGUCCCGCUACUACAACAUGCUACUUGACUAUGUCUGGAAGCCAUGGCUGCUGCCCUCAACAUGCUAAACUGAAACCCUCACAAAUAAAGUCACAAAUCAAGAAUUAACAUUGAUGGUGAUGGUGGCAAGGGUGCCUUCAUAAGGUGCCAUCCAGCAAGUCCCAGCCUGGAGCCAGAGGCUGGCACUGCACGUCAGAUGGGGGAGGAUCUAUGUUCAGAAAGGCAUCAGAAAGGUGGUUUAAGCAAGAAGGCAAGAACUUCUGCAGACAGUGUUGCAAUUAGACACCUGACUUUUACUGAGUCCCUUUUCUGGUUUGUUUUGGACAAACUAGAGUGGUGGGCACAGAAAUUUUGUCGAUGGGUCAAACAUUCACACACUCACUCACACAACCACACUUGUGGAUUUGUCAAGCAACAAAUCUUUGUAUAUAAUCUGUUGCUCAUUGAAUAUGCUUAAUAAAUGUUGUCUUCUUGACUUGUA